UACGUAGGGUGCAAGCGUUAAUCGGAAUUACUGGGCGUAAAGUGUGCGCAGGCGGCAGAGCAAGUCGAGUGUGAAAGCCCCGAGCUUAACUUGGGAAUUGCGCUCGAAACUACUUUGCUGGAGUGUGGCAGAGGAAGGUGGAAUUCCAGGUGUAGCGGUGAAAUGCGUAGAGAUCUGGAGGAACACCGAUGGCGAAGGCAGCCUUCUGGGCCAACACUGACGCUGAGGCGCGAAAGCUAGGGGAGCAAACAGG
rnacentral:rRNA from 1 species